rnacentral:sRNA from 1 species
UCUGGGUGCAGUGGCACACACCUGUAAUCCCAGCAGCUCAGGAGGCUAAGGCAGGAGGAUUGCAAGUUCAAGGCUAGUCUCAGCAAUUUAGUGAGGCCCUGAGCAUCUUAGUGAGACCCUGUUUUAA